rnacentral:rRNA from 1 species
GACGAACGCUGGCGGCGUGCCUAAUACAUGCAAGUCGAACGAAGCUGUUUUAACUGGUGCUUGCACCGACUUAAACAACUGAGUGGCGAACGGGUGAGUAACACGUGGGUAACCUGCCCCAAAGCGGGGGAUAACAUUUGGAAAUAGAUGCUAAUACCGCAUAACCACAGAAACCACAUGGUUUCUGUGUCAAAGAUGGUUUCGGCUAUCACUUUGGGAUGGACCCGCGGCGUAUUAGCUAGUUGGUAAGGUAAUGGCUUACCAAGGCAAUGAUACGUAGCCGAACUGAGAGGUUGAUCGGCCACAUGGGGACUGAGACACGGCCCAAACUCCUACGCGAGGCAGCAGUAGGGAAUCUUCCACAAUGGACGAAAGUCUGAUGGAGCAACGCCGCGUGAGUGAAGAAGGUUUUCGGAUCGUAAAACUCUGUUGUCAGAGAAGAACGUGUGCGAGAGUAACUGCUCGUGCAGUGACGGUAUCUGGCCAGAAAGCCACGGCUAACUACGUGCCAGCCGCCGCGGUAA